UUCUUUUUAAUUUUUUUUCUUUCUAGAAUAAUUCUUUUAAAGGCCCCUGAACUUUAAAGAAACCUACUAAGUCCAACAACUUUUAUUUUGACCUAUUAAGCCCUUGAAUUUUUAUGUUUAAAUAUAUUGAGUCUACUUUGUCCAAAAAAAAACUCCUAAGUCAUGAGUGUCAAAUAUUUGUUCAUGAAAGAAUAAAAAUGACAAGAGAAAUGGGAGAGUUGGAUUAUUACAUAUCAGGAUGUGGCAAAAAUGGCUAGUAG
rnacentral:misc_RNA from 1 species